CCACAAGCUUAUUUUGACAUGUUGAAACUGCUUAAAAAAAAUACCACUAACAAAUUUUUUUUUGAUUCAUUGAAGGCUCAAUCAGCCCAAAGGCUACACUCCAAUCACCCCUUGUUGGCACCUUAAAAACAAACUUUAUUGAUGUCUAACAAUAAUGUCAGCUCAAACAAUAAUGACAAACACACACUCCAAAGUUCUUACGAAGCUUGAAAUGCAAGGAAAAAGACACUAUUUGCCACGUUUAGGAGACAACAUGGCUCAUCCUUCCCUGCACUAACAUUUCACUCGAUCCUUCUGAGCCAGAAUACAUUUCAAUGGUAAAACCAAUCCAAAUACAUAUUCCAAAUAUGGUCCUUCCAGUAGGUCCCUGUGUUCAUUGGAGAUCUUUCAUUAGCUGGAAAUCAAAGAAGCAAAAUGCUGUUUUUAGAAGCUCUGCAGAUGCAGAAUACAGGACAAUGACUAUAACUUGUGAAAUUGUAUGGCUAUUCCAUUUGUUAUAAGUUUUUAAAUUUUCACAUAAAGGAAACUCUCUCUCUAUUAUUGUGAUAAUAUUUCUUCUAUGCAUAUACCAAAAAUCCAGUGUUCAAGAAGAGGACAAGGCACAUAGCAUUGGAUGCCAUUCUGUUUGAGAAAAGAUUGCAAAUAGAGCAGUCAAGCCUCUGUAUUUGAAGACAGAGCAGCAACUGUCAGACUAAUUCACAGUGGUUUUGUAACCUGGAUAGCACAAUUUUCCCAUAGGCAAAUUGAGUAUAGAUAAUAAUAUAUAUAUGUGCUCAACUUGAGGGGGAGUGUCAGUUAGAUAAAUAAAUCGCAAGCUUUAUAAUUCUAAUUUACUUUGUUAUGUUUAGCUAAGCUUAGUAUUUGACUUUUCCUAUACAUAUAUGAAUACAUUUUUACUAUUUGGAUAAAGUAAGAGGUAUUUUUCCAAUUUUACCUUGUAACAGAAAGGCCUAACUGACUGAUUCUUCAACUACCUGCAACAAGUGAACAAAUUAUUGAUGAGAGCACUGACAUGUAUUGGGUAAGUUUCUCGAUGCAAUCUCACUUCCUAAAAGCAGGUCUAGUGGCUAGAUAGUAACAAAAUCGCGUAUCAACAACUAGAGUUCGCAGGCAUAGUUUCUUAUUUCACUUGUGCAAUGUGUUUUCGGAAUCUAGA
rnacentral:lncRNA from 1 species